rnacentral:rRNA from 1 species
UACGUAGGGGGCUAGCGUUGUCCGGAAUCAUUGGGCGUAAAGAGCGUGUAGGCGGCCCGGUAAGUCCGCUGUGAAAGUCGGGGGCUCAACCCUCGAAUGCCGGCGGAUACUGUCGGGCUAGAGUGCGGAAGAGGCGAGUGGAAUUCCUGGUGUAGCGGUGAAAUGCGCAGAUAUCAGGAGGAACACCGGUGGCGAAGGCGGGUCUCUGGGCCGAUACUGACGCUGAGGAGCGAAAGCGUGGGGAGCGAACAGG